rnacentral:rRNA from 1 species
CAGUCGCCACGGGAAUACGUAGGGGGCAAGCGUUGUCCGGAAUCAUUGGGCGUAAAGCGCGUGUAGGCGGCUCGAUAAGUCUGCUGUGAAAGUCCAGGGCUCAACCCUGGAAUGCCGGUGGAAACUGUCGAGCUCGAGUCCGGAAGAGGCAAGUGGAAUUCCUGGUGUAGCGGUGAAAUGCGCAGAUAUCAGGAGGAACACCAAUGGCGAAGGCAGCUUGCUGGGACGGUACUGACGCUGAGACGCGAAAGCGUGGGGAGCAAACAGGAUUAGAUACCCCUGUAGUCCCUGUCUCUUAUAA